AUGGCGCCGGGACGCACCUCGACCCCGUCGUCGACCCAGCCGCUGCCGGCGAGCAACAGCAACCAGCAGACCAUCCCGAGCAGCAAAAGGAGAACGAGCUCCCAUGGCCGCCGCCGAGCCGCCCGAGCACCUCCUCCUCCUCCCGUCGCCGGCGACCGCGUCACCAGGACCCCGCGCCUGCAGACUCGCGCACAAGCUCCUCUGCUUCCUCACGCGCCACGACAAGAAGCAGCACCACCGGGGCCCUUGCAUCAUCGAGCACCACCAGGACCAGCCCCGGUGCCACUCCGGCCGCCCGAGCACCUCGUGCUUCUCCUCGUCGCGCCUCCUCCCCUGCGCCUCGACUUUGUUGGAGACCAGCUCCCUUCCUCCUUUUUCCUUCCUUCUUUUCCUUCUCUCUACGCGCUCAAGCUCUCUCAUGUUUUCUCUUCUUCACAGGGAACCGCGCCUCCAUGA
rnacentral:rRNA from 1 species